CCGUGUGCGGCCGCUGCGCACUCGGCACUGGGCGGCGCUGGCUGGCUCCCUGGCUGCGGCUCCUCAGUCGGCGGCGGCUGCUGCUGCCUGUGGCCCGGGCGGCUGGGAGAAGCGGAGUGUUGGUGAGUGACGCGGCGGAGGUGUAGUUUGACGCGGUGUGUUACGUGGGGGAGAGAAUAAAACUCCAGCGAGAUCCGGGCCGCGAACGAAAGCAGUGACGGAGGAGCUUGUACCACCGGUAACUAAAUGACCAUGGAAUCUGGAGCAGAGAACCAGCAGAGUGGAGAUGCAGCUGUAACAGAAGCUGAAAACCAACAAAUGACAGUUCAAGCCCAGCCACAGAUUGCCACAUUAGCCCAGGUAUCUAUGCCAGCAGCUCAUGCAACAUCAUCUGCUCCCACCGUAACUUUAGUACAGCUACCCAAUGGGCAGACAGUUCAAGUCCAUGGAGUUAUUCAGGCGGCCCAGCCAUCAGUUAUUCAGUCUCCACAAGUCCAGACAGUUCAGAUUUCAACUAUUGCAGAGAGUGAAGAUUCACAGGAGUCAGUGGAUAGUGUAACUGAUUCCCAAAAACGAAGGGAAAUUCUUUCAAGGAGGCCUUCCUACAGGAAAAUUCUGAAUGACUUAUCUUCUGAUGCACCAGGAGUGCCAAGGAUUGAAGAAGAAAAGUCUGAAGAGGAGACUUCAGCACCUGCCAUCACCACUGUAACGGUGCCAACUCCGAUUUACCAAACUAGCAGUGGACAGUAUAUUGCCAUUACCCAGGGAGGAGCAAUACAACUGGCUAACAAUGGUACCGAUGGGGUACAGGGCCUGCAAACAUUAACCAUGACCAAUGCAGCCGCCACUCAGCCGGGUACUACCAUUCUGCAGUAUGCACAGACCACUGAUGGACAACAGAUCUUAGUGCCCAGCAACCAAGUUGUUGUUCAAGGUACUCAAAAAUUGUAAAGCAGGAUGUCAGUGAAUUUGAAUUCUCAACGUCAGUUUGAAGAUGGUAACACAUUUAGUAUAAAUUUUUCCACUCAAACUAUACACAUUUUAAUUGAUAUUAAUAAUAUGAAUGAUUUUAUAUACCUUCAAAUUCUCUUAAGUAAUGUUAGGUUCCUUAUUAGGAGAGCAUAUUAUGAAGCUGUUUUUAGAAGCAGUUUGACAAAUAGUGAUUGUGUUUGUUUUCAGAAAUGGUGAUCAGUUAGAAAAAUAAAACUUCAGUUUAUUUAGCCAUUAUCAUUUACAUUAAAAGAAUAUGUUUACAGAUUAUAUAAUUGACAUCAAGUCAGUACACUUUUUCAUACUUUCAGUUUUGUUUUAAUUAGAAAUCUAUAAUAGUUGACCAUAAUGCUUUAUUUUCUCUUCUAUUUUGCUAUUUUAUGAAAAAUCAUGGUCGUUUUUAUGUCGUGGCAAGAGUCUACUUGAAAUUUUUUAAUAUGAAUUUACCAAUAUCAAAAGGAAGACAUUGAGGACUAUAUCUAGGAAGAUCAUCCAAGCUGUGCCCUACUUACCUUUUAGACUUAAGCUGCCUCUGGAGAUGUACAAACAUACCAGAUUCGCACAGCACCCACUAGCACUAUUGCCCCUGGAGUUGUUAUGGCAUCCUCUCCAGCACUUCCUACACAACCUGCUGAAGAAGCAGCCCGAAAGAGAGAGGUUCGUCUAAUGAAGAACAGGGAAGCAGCCCGAGAGUGUCGCAGAAAGAAGAAAGAAUAUGUGAAAUGUUUAGAAAACAGAGUGGCAGUGCUUGAAAACCAAAACAAGACAUUGAUUGAGGAGCUAAAAGCACUUAAGGACCUUUACUGCCACAAAUCAGAUUAAUUUGGGAUUUAAAUUUUCACCUGUUAAGGUGGAAAAUGAACUGGCUUGGCCACAACCAGAAAGACAAAAUAAACAUUUUAUUUUCUAAACAUUUCUUUUUUUCUAUGCGCAAAACUGCCUGAAAGCAACUUCAGAAUUUCAUUCAUUUGUGCUUUUGCAUUAAACUGUGAAUGUUCCAACACCUGCCUCCACUUCUCCCCUCAAGAAAUUUUCAGCGCCAGGAAUCAUGAAGAGACUGCUUUUCAACCCCCACCCUCCUCAAGAAGUAAUAAUUCGUUUCUUGUAAAUUGAUGGGGGAAAUAAGGAAAAGAAAAUCUUUUUUAAAAUGAUUUCAAGGUUUGUGCUGAGCUCCUUGAUUGCCUUAGGGACAGAAUUACCCCAGCCUCUUGAGCUGAAGUAAUAUGUGGGCCGCAUGCAUAAAGUAAGUAAGGUACAAUGAAGAAGUGUUGAUUGCCAAAUUGACAUGUUUUCACAUUUUCAUUGUCAAUUAUGUAAAAUUGUUAAGAGACAUACACUCUAAAAAAGAAUUUUAGUAUGGUAUUGAAGAAAUUAGGAAUGUAUUCAGAGUGCUUUCUAUGUACAUUCUCUUCUUCAAUACUGAAACCUUGUCCUUUGGUUCUUACGAACAUUCUGUAUUAACUAUAUCUCUUCCAUAGGGCAGUUGUUGCUUCUUAAUUCAGUUCUGUAUGUGUUCAGCAUUUUUGAAUACAUUAAAAGAAGUAACCAACUAAAUGAAAAAGCAUGGUAUUUGAAUUUUAAAUUAAAUUGAAGUAAAUAAAAUUACAAAUUAGUACUAAAUUCUAAGUAAAAAGAUGCUGAUUAGUAAACCAACCCCUUGAGUUACAUAACAAGGUUUUUAAAUAAAUGUUUUUGUCCUCGCUUUCAAAAAUAUUUAUAUUGUCACUUGUUUACUUAAAAGGAUAUUUCUAAUUUACUGUUGUCCUUUGCACUUACAUUAUACCACCAACAGGAAAGCCUUCGAGAUGUUAAAGCAAAGUGAUGUAUUUGUUAUGAAAUGUUACAUGUAGAAAAAUACUGAUUCUAAAUCUUUUCCACAUUAACAUACUUCAACAGAGAAUCACCAGUGAAUUUUUUAAAUGAAAGAAGUUGUAGGGAUAUUAUUCUAAAAAGUACAGUGUUAGAUUUUAGAUUUGCACAAGGAAAGCAAUUCAGACAUAUUUGAAUGACUACUGUACUACAAUAUUUGGAUUGUCAUUCUUAUAAAACAUUUUUUCGUUCUCUUCUAAAAAGGGUAGUUAUAUUUUAGCUUUCCAAUAUGCUAUAUUGCCUUUGUCAUUUUAUAAAGGAGCUACCUAGUUUAAUUCCUGACUAUAAUAGUCUAUAUUUGUGUAUGUCAUACAUUGUUCCUCUAAUACUACUUUUAAUUAUUAAUUUCGUGUUUUAUUCACUGAGCCUGAUAAAUCUAAAAGUAAUCCCUUAAAAGAAAAAUAAGACUAUGGUGGAUUUUAAAAAUUUGGAGACUGGCAUAAUGUUAGGUUAUAAUUUCUCAUUUGAGAAGGAAAUUCCUUUUAAAAAAAGAGUCAAGAAACUUAGAAGGUUAAUGCUUCAUAUUUAGUAAUGGGUUAAGAAAGUUAAAUUUGUUUAACAUGAUAACAAAAUGUACAGAUUUAAGUGUUAUUGGGUCCAUUUAAAAGAGAUUUUUAAUUAGUAUUUGUAAAUGGUAUAUUUUUGUUUGUAACAAACCAUUGUCUUUUUUCAAGGAUGAACAGAGUUUAUGAAGGAGCAUCAUUCUAAGAAUUGAGUGAUGUAGUCUUUAUGUUUGGACAAUUCACCAGAUUCUCAAGAAGGCUUUCAAACGACUGUAAAGUUUGAUAUUUGUCCUGCUGAGCUAAUGGGGAAAGUUAUAGCAUAAAAAAUGUUUGUAUACCAGCAUAGAUUUGUCAUUUUCUAAAACUGGUUUAAUAGAAACCAAGCAAAGUCACAAAUCUGUUCACAAACUGGAAUUAUUUCUUAUUGAGUCAAAAUGUCAGAUUGAACAUUCUUAAUGUCAUAAGUGUUACAAAUGAAAAAUUGCCUGGUGUUUAGCAAUUUGUAUUCUCUAAAGUUCUGUUUUUCAAAAGCUGAGGCUUUCAAGUUAGGAAGUUGGUGGUCCUCUUAGUCCCUGAUAAAUCAAGGCAAUCACAUUCAUAUUAACUGGAUGGAUUUUAUGUUAUAAAGACCUGGUCCUUUAUACUUUGAGGAAGAUUGCACUGGUUUUGAAGUCAGUUACUGAAUGUGAGGUGAGGAAUGUAUCCUGUUGCUAAGUCUGUUUUAGACCCUUGGAAAGACUUGAAGAUUUCAGUUUAUACAGAUAGAAAUCAAGCAUCUUUUGUGUGGGCUUUUUUUUUAAUAUGAGAAUUAGGGGGGAGGGGAAAGGUGUUUGUUUUUAAGCAUGAAGCUUUGAGAACCUUUAUUAAGAAAAUGACAUAAUAAAAAAAAAAAUCCCAUAGCCAAGAACAUACGUGGCCACAUUACCAGUAAUAAAUGUUUUUCUCUUCAUAUUGGCCAAAAGGGAAUGAAAAUGUCAUCAUAGGAAUUUGUACAUAUGCUACUGAUUUGCCUAGAAAAUAGCAAGUUUGGUAUCGCUCACUUUGCAAAUAUAGGGCCAUGUGGCACUUUUAUCUAUAGGACAGAUUAACUCUAAUAAAAAUGAAGUGGGGAGGGGUUUAUUUUUGAUAUCUUACUCUUAGGAGUUUUUGAGCUUUGAUAGUGUUUAACUGAAAAGUGGUUUAGAAAGGGCUAGAUCCAAUUUGUUCAUUAUUGAAAAAUUGAUAUCAGAUACAAUUUUAAGUUCAUUCUUUUUCAAACUCAAGUACCAUAUUGGCAACCAUAAUAUUGUCAUAGGUGCUCUGUUCAUUUAGAUAUCCUGGGGAGGGAGGGGAAAUGGCAUUUGUAUAAUAUAUGUGUACAUAUAUACAUACAGUAUAUAAUCUGAAAGCUCUGAGAGCUCUUAAGUCAGGAAUGCUGAGUAUUAUAGUAUAUUGAGGUCAGAUGAAAUUUUACAUUUUUGUGUGUUCUGUUGCAUCCCUUCUGGUAGAUUCUAUGACUGCAUUACUCCAGCACUCAUGAUUGAUUUUUUAUCGUCUAAUUUUCUUCCAAGUAUUUUAUUAUUAAGUUUUCGUUGGCUUGAUACUUUUAAAUAUGUUGCUAGUCACUUGAAAACUUCCCCAACUUCCCCCACUAAAAGUAUUUGGUUUUUAUGCUUUGUCUCUGGCAGCUAUAACAGUGGUAAGAACAUUUUAAAGAUAGCUUUUACAAGGAACCACUGACUUUUCAAAAAUCAUCCUGGGGAAGGAAUUUUGAUGUUUCAUUUGAGCAGGGAUUUUGUCAGAAAAUGUGUUUUGACGGUAGUCAGCAGCAGUGCUAGUUUCUGAAAGCACAAUACCAGUUAGGCAGCCUGUCCCAUCAGAUGUCAUCUGGCUGAAGUUUAUCUCUGUCUCUCAGGACUAAUCCCUACUAUCUUUUAACCUUUUGUGGUGGCAUGUGGAAUCAUACAAAGGCUUAGGAAGAAACAAGUUUGUUUAAACCAGGAUGUUUUUACUUACUUGAAGUGACUUCGAUCUAGGUUUCUUUUUUUAUAUUUAAUAAGUUUUUAAUUCUAUGAUCAGUUAGAGUCAGCUAUUAGCAUAAAUUGGUCUCUGUUUAUUUUGAAAAUCAAAGGCUGCUUCAUUUUGUAGGAUUAUAUAAGGCUAAUAUAUAUUAAAAUUAGGAUUUUGAAUUAAAGUGGGUUUUAGAAAUAGUGGUUACAUACCUUUUCAGUUAUUUUCAAGAGGCUUUAUUUUGUUGCCUUUGCAGCCCUGAGAACUGUUGGUAUGUUUUUUCCCAUUGAUCUAAUACAAAAGUUGUAUAUUUAUUUGGAUUAUAUUUACAUUAUAUUCUUUGUAAAUGUUUGGUGUAACUUGCACUUUUAAAAAUGACCCAGUUUGGGUAUUAGCAACUUAAGGAAAUUCCCUCAUCAGUUAAUUAUCAACUGACUUUUUGGUCUUUCUCCUAUCUUUAAAUCAUGUGACUUUAGAAGCUUUUCAUUGAUUAAAAUAUUUUAGCACCCCAAAGCUAGCCUUGAAAAAUAGCUGUAAAAGAAACACCAGGAAAUUAGAUUUGACUAGCCCAGCAUUAAAAGAUGGGCUAAAACCUAAUUUUAUUCUUUUUUAUCAUGGAUAAAGAUUGAAGGAAAAGUAAUUCGAGUGAAUAAUAUUUAUUUCCAGUUUUAAAUGAGACUUUAUCCUCAUCCCAACAUUAAUACUGUAUAUAGUAUGCCAAAAUGCCCGUUAUUUUUUUCCAGAAUAGUAAAAGAUUUUUGAGGCCAUUAAAUUAUUGUUUUAUCAUGGAGACCACAUGUAGUAAUAAUCAUUUUACUAAAUUAUUUUUAUUUUAAAUUGGCUUGGUUGACAUCAAGGAAAUGCUGCCUAAAUUUGACUAAUUUCAGAUGAGGAAGGGGAAAGUGAAGUGUGCUUAUGUAAGCCUGUAGGUAAAGAGUUGUGAGAUAAAGUUGUUCACUCAGUUGUACAAAGCACAACUAGAACUUUUUGUUGGGUGGCUUACAUACAUCUUGAAUACUUUUAAUGUUAAUAAUGUUGACUUUAUUAAGUUGACUACACAGUCAUUGUAUGUACUAGGAACUGGUUUCCUUGACUCUCUAGAAUCAAUGGCUAGGAGAGGCAUUAAUCCUUGAGGGAUUGAACAUAUCAUGAAGCUGAGUCAGUAUGGAAGAAUUUCAAAUAAAUUCAAACAGGGUGCUGACGUUCCAUCUGUCUCAUCUGCUUGUGAUAAGUUCUUAUUGAUUAGUGAAUGUAGCUUAAGCCUUUGUAUGUGUCCUCAGGGGGCAGACAAACUUUAAGAGGGACCAGAUAACGUUUGAAUGGAGGGAUUAUAUUUCAGGUGUUUUAACUUGAAAUUUAUUUUUUAAAAAAAGAAAAAUUAAAAAAAAAAAAAAUAGAACAAAGCCUGUGAUGCAAGUUGGUAUUAUAAACAGGCAGAGUUGUUUAGCACAGAGAGAAAAUAUUGACCUGUCUGCAUUCUGGUACUGUGGGUGCAGGUCCCAGCUGGGUAUAACAUGAUACAUUUUUAAUUAUUCUCACCAGCAAGUAAAAGGAAAAUGAACAAUCUUCCGGAAAUGUCUUUGAAAAGAAUCAGACAGUAGGAAAUUCAAAUUUUACCUACUUUAUACGGCAUUAUUUAAUACUUGCCUAUAGAAGCGUGGCAUUUCCAAGCUUCUGUCUGAGGAGCAUCUCAGAGAUGUGAGAGUAAAUCUAAGAUUGUUUAAAAAUUGGUAGGGAAGGAAGAAAAUCCCUGCAGAUAAUGAUCUUAUGUUUAGUUGGCCAAGUAAAAUGAUCUAUCAUUGUGUUUGGGAGGUUUUAUUUUCUUAUGUUUUUAAAAUGAAUUGGUAAAUGCUUUAUAGAUGUAUUUUUAUCCAGGUGCCACUCCAAUUUGUGUAUGUAAUAAAAUUAUUUAUAUUAAAAGUGGGAAAUAAUUUGUCAGCAUUUUUCUUUGAGUAUAGAUUUAUUAGAGGUGGCAAAGAAGAGUGCUAGUUAGCAGUUUUCCAUGUAAAAUUGUCCUUGACUGAUUUGUCCACGUCAGUAGAAACCACCACCCCCACAAGAGAAAUUAUUUCUAACCUAUAGGUAUCGCUUGAAACUUUUUAGAAACAAAAUAAUCAGGGAAAUUCCUAGAGAGAAAGGGUGUUUGGCUUUUUGGUUUUUCCUUGAGGAUUGGGGUAAAGAAUACUUCCCCCAAAACUAUCAGCACAAAACAGGGUAUUGAUUUUUAACUCUGAUGUUUCUAUUGGAGUUGAAUACUAAAUAAAUAACUAUGAGGGAAAUACAUUUCUAAUAAAAUUCCCUACAUUCUAGAAACAUCCCUGUUUUAAUUUUUUUACCUAAAAUCUUUGUGCUUUAUGUGUAAAGAAAAAAAUGUACAAGUUACAAUGCAUUUUAUUAACACUAUGUACAUAUUAGCUGCUUUGUGUUCAGAAUGGUAGCAAUUGCUUUGUAUAUUAAAGUGAUCCUUGUGAAUUUGUGGAAUAUUGUCAUAAAGUGCUUUUUCUUACUGUAAUCUUUGUGGUAUCAACUGUCAUAAUGCCCUUUUUACACAAACAUUUAUGUGCAGUCACAUAAACAUGCUUUUAAAAACUC